GUAGGUGGCAAGCGUUGUCCGGAAUUAUUGGGCGUAAAGCGCGCGCAGGCGGUUCUUUAAGUCUGAUGAGAAAGCCCACGGGCUCAACCGUGGAGGGUCAUUGGAAACUGGAGAACUUGAGUACAGAAGAGGAAAGCGGAAUUCCACGUGUAGCGGUGAAAUGCGUAGAGAUGUGGAGGAACACCAGUGGCGAAGGCGGCUUUCUGGUCUGUAACUGACGCUGAGGCGCGAAAGCGUGGGGAGCAAACAGGAUUAGAUACCCUGGUAGUCCACGCCGUAAACGAUGAGUGCUAAGUGUUAGGGGGUUUCCGCCCCUUAGUGCUGCAGCUAACGCAUUAAGCACUCCGCCUGGGGAGUACGGCCGCAAGGCUG
rnacentral:rRNA from 1 species